GCUCAGUUGGUUAAGCGUCUGACUCUUGAUUUCGGUUCAGGUCAUGAUCACACGGUUCGUGAGUUCAAGCCCCACAUUGGGCU
rnacentral:tRNA from 1 species